rnacentral:rRNA from 1 species
UAUAAUUAAAAAAGCUUUGGGUGAAUACCUAGGUACUCAGAGGCGAUGAAGGGCGUAGAAAUCAACGAAAGGCUUUGUGGAACUGAAAACAAGUUAUGAAGCAAAGAUUCCCGAUAUAGGGCAACCUUAAAUGAACUACUCGAUAAAUUCAUAGUUGAGAAAGAGAUAACCUGAUGAAUUGAAACAUCUUAGUAAUCAGUGGAAAAGAAAACAAAAUUGUGUAUUCUCUUAGUAGCGGCGAGCGAAUCGAGAGUAGUCUAAACCAAUAAUAACGAAUAUUAGUGUUGGUGUUGUGGGAUAAUAAAAUAAACUAGGAGAAACUAACAAUCAAAACAAAACAGCUGAAUCCUGUACCAAAGAUGGUGAUAGUCCAGUAGUAUGAGAUUUUUAUAGUACUUCGUUUUUAUCCCGAGUAGCAUGGAGUAUGUGUAAUACCGUGUAAAUCAACGAGGACCACCUCGUAAGACUAAAUACUCCUGAGUGACCGAUAGUGAAGCAGUACCGUCAGGGAAAGGUGAAAAGAACCCCUUUAGGGGAGUGAAAUAGAAUAUGAAAUCUUAAGCUAACAAUAUGUAGGAGGGAAAUAAAUUCCUGACUGCUUGCCUGUUGAAGAAUGAGCCGGCGACUUAUAAAUUUUGGCUUGAUUAAAGAUUAAUAGAGUUCUCUGUAGUCAAAGCGAAAGCAAGUUUGAACAAAAGCAUUUUUAGUCAUCAUUUAUAGACUCGAACCCGAGUGAUCUAACCAUGACCAGAGUGAAACUUAGGUAAAACUGAGUGGAGGCUCGAACUGACCGAUGUUGAAAAAUCGGCAGAUGAGUUGUGGUUAGCGGAGAAAUUCCAAUCGAACUCGGAGCUAGCUAGUUCUCCCCGAAAUGUGUUGAGGCGCAGCAAUGAUUGAGGGAUUGUUCAUAGGGGUAAAGCACUGUUUCGGUGCGGGCUGUGAAAACGGUACCAAAUCGAUGCAAACUAAGAAUACUAUGCAUAUUUUCCGAUCAUUAGUGAGACAGUGGGGGAUAAGCUUCAUUGUCAAGAGGGAAACAACCCAGAUCACAGAUUAAGGCCCCUAAAUGACUACUAAGUGAAAAAGGAAGUAAUAUAUACUAAGACAACUAGAAGGUUUGCUUAGAAGCAGCAAUCCUUAAAAGAGUGCGUAAUAGCUCACUAGUUAAGUGUUGUUGCACCGAAAAUGAAUGGGACUAAGUAGAUUCUGCCGAAUUCGUGAGAAAUUUUUAAAAUUAUCGGUAGGGGUGCGUUCUAUUUGUAGGAUGAAGUAAAAAUGAAAAUUUUUAUGGACAAAAUAGAAGUGAGAAUGUCGGCUUGAGUAACGAAAACACUGGUGAGAAUCCAGUGCCCCGAAAACCUAAGGGUUCCUUUACAAGGCUCGUCCGUGAAGGUUAAGUCAGGUCCUAAGGUCAGGUCGAAAGACGUAGCCGAUGGUAAACAGGUUAAUAUUCCUGUACUUUUCUUUUAUUAUAUGUUAGGGGACGAAGAGUGAAUACAUUGGUCCAAAUAAUGGAAUUUUGGUAAAAGUUUUUAAAGUAUUGAUAAUAUGAAAAAAAACAUAUUUAAGCUGAGAAAUUAUUUGAUCAAUUGUUUUAUUUAUUUUAUAAAAGAACAGUUGGUUCAAUGGACUUUAUUCUUCCAAGAAAAGCCUAAAUCAUUUAAAAAUAAGUUAAUCUGUACCCGAAACUGUCACAAGUAGGUAGGUAUUUUAUACUAAGGGGCUCGAGAGACUUCUCUCUAAGGAACUCGGCAAAAUUACUCCGUAACUUCGGGAUAAGGAGUGCCUUUUGUAAAAAAAGGUUGCAGUGAAUAGGCCCAGGCGACUGUUUACCAAAAACACAGGUCUCCGCAAAAUCGUAAGAUGCUGUAUGGGGGCUGACGCCUGCCCAGUGCCGGAAGGUUAAAGAAAUUGGUGCAAGCUAAUAACUGAAGUCCCGGUGAACGGCGGCCGUAACUAUGACGGUCCUAAGGUAGCGAAAUUCCUUGCGGGGUAAGUUCCCGCCUGCACGAAAGGCGUAACGAUCUGGGCGCUGUCUUGGAGAGAAUCUCGGUGAAAUAAACAUAUCUGUGAAGAUGCGGAUUUUUUAUACCUGGACAGAAAGACCCUAUGAAGCUUGACUGUAAUUUGUGAUUGGAUCUGGACUUCUCUUGCGCAGUCUAAGUGGGAAGCGAAGAUAAUUUCUUCUUGGAGAAAUUUGAGCUGAUAUUGAGAGACCACUCUGGAAAAGUUAAGAUUCUAAGAAUACUCCUUGAAUCAGGAUAUUUAACAGUCUCAGGUGGACAGUUUCACUGGGGCGGUGACCUCCUAAAGAGUAACGGAGGUGUACAAAGGUUCCUUCAAGCUGGACGGAAAUCAGCUGAAGAGUGCAAAGGCAAAAGGGAGCUUGACUGCAAGACUUACAAGUCAAGCAGAGACGAAAGUCGGUCUUAGUGAUCCGACGGUUCCGAGUGGAAGGGCCGUCGCUCAACGGAUAAAAGUUACUCUAGGGAUAACAGGCUGAUCUUCCCCAAGAGUUCAUAUCGACGGGAAGGUUUGGCACCUCGAUGUCGGCUCAUCGCAGCUCGGAGCGGUAGUACGUUCCAAGAGUUGGGCUGUUCGCCCAUUAAAGCGGUACGUGAGCUGGGUUCAGAACGUCGUGAGACAGUUCGGUCCAUAUCCGGUAUAAACGUUAAAAUAUUGAGAGGAGCUUUCCAUAGUACGAGAGGACCUGGAAAGACAAACCAAUGGUGUACCAGUUCUUAUUCCAAUAAGAUACGCUGGGUAGCUAAGUUUGGAGUGGAUAACUACUGAAAGCAUCUAAGUAGGAAGCCCACCUCAAGAUGAAUAUUUUUUACUUUAUUCAUAAGUUUCAGCAAGAUAAGCUGAUAAAUAGGUAGUAUGUAUAAGACUAGUAAUAGUUUUAGCUUAACUAUACUAAUAAUACUAAAAAGAAUAUGAUU